GAAUUGAGUGAUUUGAUCCGGUUCUACAAACAAUAAUUUUAAACAACAGCUCAGACGUUUAAUAGUAAUAAAAAAUUCUCCAAUCGAAAAUAGUCACCGUAUGAUCAAGAGAUUACCAGAGAUGCCUCCAACAUCAGUUGUAGCAUUGCUUGACCGAGACAGUAACCGGUUAGGGUUAGAAAUAAGCUGGAAAAUAGUAAUCGAAUGAAGCCCAACCCAGCAAAGCAACUGAAGCAGAAACGUCAGUUCGGCAGGGCCACCCACCACCGAUCAGCUUCGACGACCGAAGCUACUCAGGAAAGUACUUCCUCCAUCCAGACUCUCUCCUAAUUAAUUCGAUGCCCUUCUUGACCCAUACAGUGAGCUGAUGCAUUCCCUUCUCUUGGAAUGUGUUUAAAGUGACACUGAAGAAACCUAGCUGCCAGAGAUUUAUCAUCCCAUACUAAUGCACCUGUUGAAACUAGCUGCCAUAGCUGUCAUCGGCGUUUCUCAACAGCACCAAUACUUGAUCUGUCCAGAUUCCGUGAUGAUAUCUUCGAAAUCACUGUUCUAGAAUCACCUUCAAUCUCCACAUUGGUGAAACCCAUAUCAGCUGCGCGCAAAUUGAAGAGCUUGAAUGGCCGCCCUUGCUUUAGCUAUAAAAGAAUCAAAAAUACUGCGUCGAAAUUGACUCUGACGUACGAUUCCUCUGGUCGAUUCCACUUAACACAAGGUCGACGCGUUGGUUUCUGUUCCACUGAAAUCAAGAGUCAAUCUCCUGGAGUAUAAGCGUGAACCCAGGUAACAUCUCUACUAGUUUGUCUAAUAUUCUCAUGAAUUUGUUCUGAUACCACCAUAAGGCACCAAACAUUCUGCAGGCCAGCUAAUGCUGACCAUGCCCCAAACAUCUAGUGCAAUCGAACAUUCCAGAACUACAUGACUUACUGUUUCAUUCCCUGCAGAACACCUUGUACAUAGUGUAUAGGUUUUGAAGUGUGGGUAUAUAAUUAUUGUAAAACCUCUGCAUUGUAAUUUUGAGUUUCGAAGGACCUUGUAUCGCCCAUAAAGUCUUACAGAACUGUUGAACAGUAGUCUUUAUGUUAUUUUGAUUCUCAGAAA